GAGAGUUAAACAGUACGUGAAAUUGUUGAAAGGGAAACGAUUGAAGUCAGUCAUACCAACGGGAAAUCAACCUUUUGAGCUUGGUCUCGUGGGUUUUGAAGAGUUUCAAAGCCUUCGGAUUCGCGGGAUUGGGAUCUCUUGGCGUACUUUUUCGUACGGUUAGUCAACAUCGGUUUUGAAUGUCAUAAAAUGACUGGAGGAAUGUAGCUUCGAUCUCGUAUUGAAGUGUUAUAGCCUUUGGUAGAUGUGAUGUUUGAGACCGAGGAUUGCAACGGAUACCCUUCAGGGCUAUUCGUCUGAUCUCUGAUACGUUGCCUUGAUGUUGAAAGCUUGCUUAUGAUGUUAGGGUAUUACGGUCAAAAGGUUAGAACGAAUUACAUUCGUUAAGGAUGUUGACGUAAUGACUUUAAACGA
rnacentral:rRNA from 1 species